AAAGAGCUUUUCAGACUGAAAUUCUGCUAGUUAACUUGCAUAGUAAUUGUUCUGUGAUGCAAUACAUUUUAAACAAUACUUUGUGUAAUCCUGACCUGUCAUCCCAGAAAAAGGGGCGAAAGACAAACAACAAUUCACAUACACUAAAACUGCUGGAGAUUGAGUUCUCCCAACAUAUUUCUUCAAAAUGCCUAAAUAAAAAACAACACGAACGCUCAACCCAUUAACAUAAAUUUGAAAAAUUGAAUCUUGAACGAACUGUAAAAAGAAAACCAACUUGCUGAAGUCGAAAGGAGAGAAACCCAGAAGCUAA